GGAGCGGACCGUGCGGCCGCGCGCCGUGAGGCGUGAGGAAAGUCCGGACUCCGCAGGGCAGGGUGCCUGCUAACGGCAGGGCGCGGCGACGCGACGGAAAGUGCCACAGAAAAGAAGACCCCCGGGGCAUGGCCCCGAGGAGAGCUGAAACGGUGCGGUAAGAGCGCACCAGCGUCACGGCAACGUGGCGGCUUGGCAAACCCCACCCGGAGCAAGGGCGAAUAGGAGCGGUCACGGCUGGCCCGGCCAUCGCUCGGGUACGCCCGCUCGAGGCCGUCGGCGACGACGGUCCCAGAUAGAUGGUCGCACACGACAGGAUCCGGCUUACAGGUCCGCUCCCACA
rfam:Actinobacteria bacterium 66_15 MPI_scaffold_225, whole genome shotgun sequence.